UGAACACUCCUCCAAGCCAGGACCAGAGCAUUUUAUACAUUGUCGUUUUAAAUGUGUCUUAAUCCAUUUUUAGGUUAAUUUCAGUAGUAUAUAGGUUUACAAACUCUCAAAACUGUUUUCUAGUACUUGUGCCGCCGAUCUCUUAGAAAACAAAAUAUAAAAUCUUUGAUUACAUUAGAUGAGAAUCUAUGAGACCAAGAUCUUAUCAAAUAAAAUGCCUCUCUUUUGGAGCGAAGCUCAAUGAUCGGCCAGUGGAAAGCCUAGUAUCUCUU